CUUUUGUUUUUUCUCCAGAAAAAGGCAAAGGGGCAAGAACUGCUUGGUCAUGUCUUUAAGAACCUUGAUCUGGUUGAGAAGGAUUACUUUGGACUCCAAUUUAUGGACACUCACCAAGUCUCACAUUGGCUAGAUCCUUUGAAAAAGAUCAAGAAACAAGUAAGAAUUGGUCCACCCUUCACUUUACACUUUAGAGUGAGGUUUUAUGCUGCUGAACCACAAGAUCUCAGUGAAGAACUGACAAGGUAG